CUCUCCCUUGGCUCCGGCCGCCGCCCCGCACUCCAACCGUGGAUCGAGCCGACGCGGUUGCCCUGCACCAGGUCGCGUCGCCCAGAACCACCUGUCGCCACCACGUCCUCCCCGCGCUGCCCCUAUCUCUCCUUGCUCCGCCGCCAGCCGAGCACCUUGUCACCUCCAUUGCUGUUCAGCACUUCCUCCAGUUCCUCCGAUGGGGGCUGCGCUUAUCCACUCCUACUGCUGACCCAGCUCACUCCAAUCCCUCCACCACGCUACCUCCUCCCGCUGGCGAGCCUCCAUUGAUGCAGCACCCCGGCCGUUCACUAUCGCCACCCCGGGCCGUUCAACAAGACAUCAAGCACAUGUUUUCAGAAUCCAGCAGUAAAGCUGGUGCUCUGUCUUCCACUCUUCUGUUCAUCGUCUAGGCACCGUCCGACUACGAAGAUGGAGUCCUACUCCUACGCGAACGGGGCCAAAUUUGAUUGCUUGCUGUUUGACAUGGAUGAAACCCUCUACCCACUGAGCUUAGGGAUCAACAUAGCCUGCCGCAAGAACAUCCAAGUGCAAUGACAGAAAAAACAUUAGUUCAAAAUAUAUAUGCAAGAUGUUUGGGAGCUCCACGCCGUCACCCGCCGGCGCACCUCUGCCUCUCCAUGGGCAGUGGAUCCUCCACCGCAGGUCAACCUCAUGGCAGCAGGCAGUUCGACGCUCUCUGUCGUGCUAUGUUCAACGCUCCCUUGAGCUCCACUAGAACUACUUUUCGGCCGCGUCUGCACCUCUGAAAAGAAUUGAUCGAGUAAAAAAGCAACUUCGGCAUGCCAAUGGGACCUUUUUAGUAAGUGCUUUGACUCUAUUUUCAUUUCCAUGUGUGGAAUAAUGGCCAAUGGUCUAAAAAUUAAGUUCCUUCCGUUACUGAACAAGAAAAUGUUCCCAUUCAACUAUAGGCAUUUUUUUCUAUUUCUUGAUGAAAAUGUUCCAGUAUCAUGUACUGUUUGUAAACGUUCACUUACCUAGAACAAAAACAGAUGCAAAGGUGCUUUUUCCCUGUUAAUGUCUGAGCCAAAACUGAAUUAUGUGGGGUUAAAUGUACUGAUGUACAAGUCUGCACGCGAGGAACCUCUCGAGCGUAGCAACUCCUCCGUCCAAGUUGAGCGCUGGGUGCCGUCCAGGUCGAGCACUGGGUGCCGUCCAAGUUAAGUCAUCCAACAGCGGGAGAGCGAGCUUUGCUUCGGGGCAGCCCAUCCUAGACGCGCAGUUGCUCUGCUCUCCAUGAACCAUGCUUCCCCUAAUCACCCAUGAACCAUGCUUCCCCUAAUCACCUCCACCUUGUGUGAAUUCGCAGCUGAGAAUAAGCACAAGCACCUACAGUCCAGCUCAUCCACCAUGGUGACGGGCAGCCGUCCAAGUGGAACACGGACAUCAGUCCAAGCAGAGUUAGUUCGUACAAACUGACUGUUAUGUAUAAUUAGGGGAUCCAGUGUUGAAAAGUUCAAUUAAGUUGUGUGUGCAAAUUCAAAGAAUUAUUGUAGGAAAAGUUAGAAGUUUGGUUUCGUGAGGAAAAUGUAUGAUUUUCUAUCAGUAUUUGGUAUGAUUCAUUUGCCUCAGUGCAACCCAAAACUAGACAAAAACUAGACAAAAAUGUCAGAUGAUGAAAGGAAAAAUGGUUUGAACUAAAAAUAUUGAUCAGUAUGAGUUAAAACAGU